GGGGAUGUAGCUCAGUGGUGCAGCACCUGCCUGGCAAGCGUGAGGCCCUGGGUUUAAUUCUCAGUACUGCCC
rnacentral:tRNA from 1 species